rnacentral:rRNA from 1 species
UUAAGCGACUAAGCGUACACGGUGGAUGCCCUGGCAGUCAGAGGCGAUGAAGGACGUGCUAAUCUGCGAAAAGCGUCGGUAAGGUGAUAUGAACCGUUAUAACCGGCGAUGUCCGAAUGGGGAAACCCAGUGCAAUUCGUUGCACUAUCGUUAACUGAAUACAUAGGUUAACGAGGCGAACCGGGGGAACUGAAACAUCUAAGUACCCCGAGGAAAAGAAAUCAACCGAGAUUCCCCCAGUAGCGGCGAGCGAACGGGGAGCAGCCCAGAGUCUGAAUCAGCUUGUGUGUUAGUGGAACGGUCUGGAAAGUCCGACGGUACAGGGUGAUAGUCCCGUACACCAAAAUGCACAGGUUGUGAACUCGAAGAGUAGGGCGGGACACGUGGUAUCCUGUCUGAAUAUGGGGGGACCAUCCUCCAAGGCUAAAUACUCCUGACUGACCGAUAGUGAACCAGUACCGUGAGGGAAAGGCGAAAAGAACCCCGGCGAGGGGAGUGAAAAAGAACCUGAAACCGUGUACGUACAAGCAGUGGGAGCACCUUCGGGUGUGACUGCGUACCUUUUGUAUAAUGGGUCAGCGACUUAUAUUCUGUAGCAAGGUUAACCGUAUAGGGGAGCCGCAGGGAAACCGAGUCUUAACUGGGCGUUAAGUUGCAGGGUAUAGACCCGAAACCCGGUGAUCUAGCCAUGGGCAGGUUGAAGGUUGGGUAACACUAACUGGAGGACCGAACCGACUAAUGUUGAAAAAUUAGCGGAUGACUUGUGGCUGGGGGUGAAAGGCCAAUCAAACCGGGAGAUAGCUGGUUCUCCCCGAAAGCUAUUUAGGUAGCGCCUCGUGAAUUCAUCUUCGGGGGUAGAGCACUGUUUCGGCUAGGGGGUCAUCCCGACUUACCAACCCGAUGCAAACUACGAAUACCGAAGAAUGUUAUCACGGGAGACACACGGCGGGUGCUAACGUCCGUCGUGAAGAGGGAAACAACCCAGACCGCCAGCUAAGGUCCCAAAGUCAUGGUUAAGUGGGAAACGAUGUGGGAAGGCACAGACAGCCAGGAUGUUGGCUUAGAAGCAGCCAUCAUUUAAAGAAAGCGUAAUAGCUCACUGGUCGAGUCGGCCUGCGCGGAAGAUGUAACGGGGCUAAACCAUGCACCGAAGCUGCGGCAGCGACACUAUGUGUUGUUGGGUAGGGGAGCGUUCUGUAAGCCUGCGAAGGUGACCUGUGAGGGUUGCUGGAGGUAUCAGAAGUGCGAAUGCUGACAUAAGUAACGAUAAAGCGGGUGAAAAGCCCGCUCGCCGGAAGACCAAGGGUUCCUGUCCAACGUUAAUCGGGGCAGGGUGAGUCGACCCCUAAGGCGAGGCCGAAAGGCGUAGUCGAUGGGAAACAGGUUAAUAUUCCUGUACUUGGUGUUACUGCGAAGGGGGGACGGAGAAGGCUAUGUUAGCCGGGCGACGGUUGUCCCGGUUUAAGCAUGUAGGCUGGUUNUCCAGGCAAAUCCGGAUAAUCAAGGCUGAGGUGUGAUGACGAGGCACUACGGUGCUGAAGUAACAAAUGCCCUGCUUCCAGGAAAAGCCUCUAAGCAUCAGGUAACAUCAAAUCGUACCCCAAACCGACACAGGUGGUCAGGUAGAGAAUACCAAGGCGCUUGAGAGAACUCGGGUGAAGGAACUAGGCAAAAUGGUGCCGUAACUUCGGGAGAAGGCACGCUGGUGUGUAGGUGAAGUCCCUGCGGAUGGAGCUGAGACCAGUCGAAGAUACCAGCUGGCUGCAACUGUUUAUUAAAAACACAGCACUGUGCAAACACGAAAGUGGACGUAUACGGUGUGACGCCUGCCCGGUGCCGGAAGGUUAAUUGAUGGGGUUAUCCGUAAGGAGAAGCUCUUGAUCGAAGCCCCGGUAAACGGCGGCCGUAACUAUAACGGUCCUAAGGUAGCGAAAUUCCUUGUCGGGUAAGUUCCGACCUGCACGAAUGGCGUAAUGAUGGCCAGGCUGUCUCCACCCGAGACUCAGUGAAAUUGAACUCGCUGUGAAGAUGCAGUGUACCCGCGGCAAGACGGAAAGACCCCGUGAACCUUUACUAUAGCUUGACACUGAACAUUGAGCCUUGAUGUGUAGGAUAGGUGGGAGGCUUUGAAGCGUGGACGCCAGUCUGCGUGGAGCCAACCUUGAAAUACCACCCUUUAAUGUUUGAUGUUCUAACGUUGGCCCCUUACCGGGGUUGCGGACAGUGUCUGGUGGGUAGUUUGACUGGGGCGGUCUCCUCCCAAAGCGUAACGGAGGAGCACGAAGGUUAGCUAAUCCUGGUCGGACAUCAGGAGGUUAGUGCAAUGGCAUAAGCUAGCUUGACUGCGAGCGUGACGGCGCGAGCAGGUGCGAAAGCAGGUCAUAGUGAUCCGGUGGUUCUGAAUGGAAGGGCCAUCGCUCAACGGAUAAAAGGUACUCCGGGGAUAACAGGCUGAUACCGCCCAAGAGUUCAUAUCGACGGCGGUGUUUGGCACCUCGAUGUCGGCUCAUCACAUCCUGGGGCUGAAGUAGGUCCCAAGGGUAUGGCUGUUCGCCAUUUAAAGUGGUACGCGAGCUGGGUUUAGAACGUCGUGAGACAGUUCGGUCCCUAUCUGCCGUGGGCGCUGGAGAAUUGAGGGGGGCUGCUCCUAGUACGAGAGGACCGGAGUGGACGCAUCACUGGUGUUCGGGUUGUCAUGCCAAUGGCACUGCCCGGUAGCUAAAUGCGGAAGAGAUAAGUGCUGAAAGCAUCUAAGCACGAAACUUGCCCCGAGAUGAGUUCUCCCUGAGACUUUAAGUCUCCUGAAGGAACGUUAAAGACGAUGACGUUGAUAGGCCGGGUGUGUAAGCGCAGCGAUGCGUUGAGCUAACCGGUACUAAUGAACCGUGAGGCUUAACCUU